AUGUUCAUAUCCAUGAAUAAUGUAAAUUUACAUGAGACAUUGGGAGAAAUUAACAAUUUCAGGUCAAUUUUCUUUAUUCUGUUCUUUUUAAUUUGAGAUAAUUAUUCAAUAUGAUACAUUAACUUAAACUAUAACUUGGGGUUUGACCACAAACUAUAACCUGGGUUGUGUUUGAAAUUAAGGUAACCUAAUUAAUUAAAACUUUUUUUUGGGUUAGAUAAUUAAUUAAAACUUUAAUGUCAGGUUAAUGGCACAAUAUCUUCGUCAAAACAGGAAAAAGAUGACACCCUCACCCUUGUGUCAUUCGUCAACUAUGGUGACACAUAAUUCAAUGAAAUUUUCACCAAAAAUUGCAAACUCUAACCUAAUAGAGGGUAAAAAAGAGUGA
rnacentral:lncRNA from 1 species